rnacentral:lncRNA from 1 species
UUUUUUUUUUUUCUGCCCUUGCCUCGGGCUGGGCUCCUUCGCUGGAGCCACUCUAACCAUGUGGAGUCUGUCAUAUGCAUGCCACAGCCGGAGAGCUGACACGCCGGUAGACUUUUACUCCAUCCCUUCUUCUUUGAUUAAACCAAAAAUAAAAGUUAUUUCUUGGUUACAAGGAAGACAAUAGUACAAGAAAGUAGUCUCACUAAGAGAAAUGGCUCUGGGUGGUGAUGGUGGUAGAAGGAAUACAACAGCAUUGAUCGUCCGUGUCAUUCUGGGUUUGUCUGCAAGCUCUCUUCUGUUUCUCCGCAGCCAAUCAUCCCUGCACCAAUCGAAAGUCAUCGUCCCCAUUGGUUCACUUGGCUUCUUUGGCUGUUUUUCCCCUUCAAGGCAAUGUUUAUCCUCUUGGGUAUGUUUUUCUUUUGUUACUUUAAUUGGAUUGUUGCUGUUUGGCUUUGAAACUCUCCUUUUAUUGAUGCCAUUAUCAAUUCUUUUUUUGGGUUUUUUCUUUUUCUUUCUUUGUUGCAUUUCUAUGUGCUGCUCGUGGGUCAACAGAUUAUGGACCCACGAUUUCAUGUCUAACUGCUCUGCUUUCCUCUAUACUUUGAUGCAAGGCCUUCCAAUUCUCUCUGUGUUCUUGUGUUUGUUUCUUUAAUUUCAUUCAGAUUUUUGGUAGUUUGGGUGUUCUUGGUUUGUUGAGCACUUCGAUUUUUCUUUUUAUCUGGCGUUAAUUCGUUUAGUGAAAGCUCCGUUUCUACUUAUCUUUUGAAUACUUUACCUAAUUUGAUUGUUAGUGAUGCAUGCGUAUUCAACAAAUUCAAUCGACCCUUUUCUUCUGUUCUUUUCUUUAUUUAAUUUGUUUCCUCUUCAAUUGUCAUAGUUAAUUUCCUGCACUAGUACAUUUUCUUUAUGUAUUUCGUUUUCCUCAAUCUUCAUAGUACUUGAACAUAAUGAAAGAAUUGAAGUUGUUCAAUUUUGGUCUGUUUAUUUAUUACAUGGUAUUAAGGUUGAUGGUUUUCUUUUAGCUUAAUUCUUUCUAAAUAUGUGUAUUCUUUUUAUGUCUAAGAUUUGAUGGAUACUAGGACUUGGUGUUCUGUCUUCUCAUUUUGGUUGUCCAAUUUUUAUCUUUUCUCCCUUUUGAUGUGAAGAAUGACAUUGCAGAAGAUUUAAUGGUAUUACUUUUACUCUGCAGGUACUACUACUGUGUCCCUCAACAUAGGGCGCCCAGCCAAGAUUUUUGAACUUGAUAUUGACUCUGGCAGUGACCUCACUUGGGUCCAGUGUGAUGCUCCUUGUACGGGUUGCACCGAGGUAAAGUUUUCUAUUGAUAGUGAGACUAACAUUCUAAUGAUCAUGUUCUCACACUCCAAUAAGCUUCCAGAAGGAGCAAAAAAGAAACCUGUCAUGUCAGUAGCCAGCAACCCUGGGAACUUUGUGAUGGGGAAAAGAUGUGUGGCACUUGUGCAUGUGCAUUUGCAGCCUCGCGAGCAUCUUUAUAGACCCAACAAUAAUCUUCUGCAGUGCGAAGACCUUCUUUGCACCGCAUUCCACUCACCAGCAAGCCACCCAUGUGAGACUGCAGAUGACUAAUGUGACUAUGAGGUCAAUAUGCUGAUCGUGGAUCAUCUCUUGGUGUGCUGGUCAAGGAUUACUUUCCCCUGAAAUUCACCAAUGGCUCUCUCCUCAGUCCCCAUUUGGCCUUUGGGUGGGUAUUCCAUCAGGUUGUUUGAUGUAGAAACGUAAACGCAUCAGUUAAAAUUAUGUAAACGAUCAAGCUUGAACGUUAAAACUUAUACCAUGUUGAAAUAAUGUCUUGGAACUAAACUGCCUGUCACCUUCUAAGUCUGAGUUAAUCAUAUUAUGUUUUCUGUUCGUGUUGUGUGCAGGUGUGGAUAUGAUCAAAAGUAUUUUGGUCCGGUCACACCUGCCACCGCCGGAGUCAUUGGCCUUGGUAAUGGAAAAGUCAGUAUUCUGUCACAACUAAGUCGCCUAGGUCUAACAAGAAAUGUUGUCGGCCAUUGUCUAAGUGGGCAAGGUGGAGGAUUUGUUUUCUUUGGGGAUGAUCUUGUCCCUUCAUUAGGAGUCGUAUGGACAUCAAUGCCUCCCAAUUCCAUGGGGUGAGUAGUCUAUAUUUGUCCUGUUCACCUUCUCAUAAAGCAUUAUUUCUAGUCUGUACCUAAUCCAUGGCAUUUCCAUAGAGAUAAUAACUUGAUGAUUUUUAUUUUCAGGAAACGCUACUCAUGUGGACCAGCAGAACUUGUGUUUGAUGGAAAGGCUACCAGUGUAAAGGGACUUAACAUGAUUUUUGACAGUGGGAGCUCCUACACUUACUUCAAUUCCCAAGCUUAUCAGGCAAUAGUUACUCUGGUGAGAAGGAAACAACAGAGAGCAUUCUACUUUUGAUAAUGAUUACUAUCUUUUAUAGAAAACUAACCAUCAAUUGGUGUGAUCAGGUGAGAAAUGAUUUAAAAGGAAAGCCUCUAAAGGAUGCAACUGAGGAUCAAUCCCUCCCAAUCUGCUGGAAAGGCAGAAAACCAUUCAAAUUUGUUCGUGACGCAAAGAACUAUUUUAAGCCCUUAGCACUGAGCUUUACUAAUGCCAAGAAUGUUCAGCCGCAAUUAUCACCUGAAACUUAUCUUAUAGUUACAGUGAGUGCCCCUAUUUUCCCUCAUUCUUUCUCUUCAUUCAUUUACUCCCUUCUGUGAGUAUUAGAGAGAAUAGAACACUUGAAAAACAUACCUAACAAGAUCAUCAUUGUCAGAAACAUGGCAAUGUGUGCUUGGGGAUUCUGAAUGGCACUGAAGUAGGACUAGGAAAUCUGAAUAUCAUUGGAGGUAACUCAUACUAACAGAACAAAAACGUUCUGAUUCUUUUCAUUUAUAAUUUCUUUUCUGAGAUAGAAUUUCAUCUUUUACUUCCUUUCUAUAUACAGAUAUCACUUUGCGAGAUAAAAUGUUGAUAUAUGACAAUGAGAACCGGCAAAUUGGAUGGGCUCCUGUAAAUUGCAAUAUGCUUCCCAAGUCCCGAACCGUUGCCAUAAUUGCAAGAUAAAAUGUCACUUAAGAGAAAAUAGUACUUUUUGUCUAUUGCAGAACUUACAAGGUGGCAAAUGUAAGUACUGUAUAUCCCAAUACUCAAGAAGUACUUUUUUAUCAAUAAAUUCAUGGACUAGUGUUUCCCUGCCUCUAAAGAGGACAUAUCUACUUCAGUAGGGAUCCCUGCUUCUAAAGAGGUGUCCCCAAUGCGAUCAUGAAAUAGUCAUGAUGAUAAUUAAAUGGCUAUUGAAAUAAACAAAAAAUAGUGUUUUCGUUGACUAUGAUCCAAACAAUAGUGUGAUCUAACUGUGAUCCAAAAAAUAAAGUGCUUUUGUUGUUUUCUGCAUUUAUUAUUCUUGUGUUUUAUUUUUCGCAGUCUUAGGCUAAUAUAGUUUGGUGUGACUUCUUAAAUGCAUUUUAGAUAAAACGACAACUACACAGAGUAAAAAGAAUAAUGCAUUAAACAGUUUAUUCAAUUGUGAGAUCAUAAUACGGAAAAUACAACAUAAGGUUAAUGUCUUAAGUAUCAAAUUCAAGAAGAAACCAAUUCAAACUAACAUUAAUCUCCUAAACUAGACUCUCCACUGGACCAUGUUGUAGAAAUCAAGACAAACCGGGCACUAUGAGACGUGAAAACACCCGAUCCCAUUCCGACCCUGGUUCUGUCCAAUGCCAGUUGCUCCGGCCUACCCCUCAUUCUCACCUGACUCACACUGAAACAUUUAAUGAGCAUAACUCAGUAACUAACAAAUAGACAAAAUAAACAAAGACUUCAGUUAAAGGCUUUAAGCAGUAUGUCUGCUAUAUGAGAAUAAUUGUGCUAUAUGACAUGUAUGCCUCAAUUAAAAAGAAGAAGAAAUCAAAAUCCUUUUAUUCUUUACUCUUUCCUUUUCUUGCUCAAAUCCUUGGUACUCGCCUCACGGAAGACAAUGCUGUUAACCUCUUGAACAAGUAUACAUUCCUUGAAACCUUUAAAAUUUUGGCAUGGUCCAUUCACCAUGAACCGUUCCUUUUACCUUUCAUUGUAUUUUUCUACCAUAGGCAUUUCCGUAGGUCCUGAAACCAUUUUAACAAAUUCUAAAGUCAUUUCCGAGAAUUCCCUAUUACGGCGAAACAUUUACUACUUUCUAUCAACAAGAAAUCCUGUAAAACAUCUUUUGUCUAACAAAAACUAUGCAUAUGCUAUGCACUUUACUAUGAUGUCAUGCUCUUAAUGUAAUCGCUACUUGGAGCAGCCUUAAUAACACAAUUCAGAAAACACAAACAAACUUUCCAAAUCUGUACAUAAGCAGCAUGCAACUUGGUGAUAACCGGUCGUUAACAUAACAUGAAACUUACAAGUCUCCUUGCUAUCCCAGACAACGAGUCUAGUUACUUACCUUGAGUGUCCAAAGCUCACAUACCUUUCACAGAGUAAGUUUAACCUAUAAAAGUGCACUCAUAUCAUCAUAUAAGUGAAAGGACCCGCCCCGAAUUUUCUCAAAAUUCGAGACGAACCCUUUGGAAUUCCUGACAUCACCCCGAUGCCAGGCCCACUUACUAAAAACCGAGACUUCCUGCCGAAAUUUCGGCAGAGUCUCCCCUAUAAUUUGGACAUUUCCCAAAAUUUCAACCUGCAUAAAAACACAUUUAAUAUUUCCAACUGGCAGCAUGCACAAUAUAAUUUCAUGCAAUUCACACAAAUGGCCUUUGGCCUUUCAAUAAUUCCUAUCCAACUACCAAACCAUUCAAAUACCAAAUAUGACUAACAUUUAGUCUGCGGCUGCACCUAAUAACCUUAGGCUGCCUACGUACCCUCCUUGAGGGAUCAAGCCACACGUAGUUCUUCCCUAAAACCCAAUUCCACACUUGGGCGAUACCUUAUUUCAUUUCUUUGUAUUUCAUAUACUCUCCCCAUACGCCGGUACAACCAACGCCACGUAUGGGGCCUGUCAACACGCCGGAUAGCCUACGCCACGUGCGACCAUGCCAUACUAUCAUUAUAUCUCCCCAUACGUCGGUACAACCAACGCCACGUAUGGGGUCUGUCUCAACACCGGAUAACCUACGCCACGUGAGACCUGCACAUCAUAUCACAUAACUCCCCAUACGCCGGUACAACCAACGCCACUUAUGGGGCCUGUCCCAACGCCGGAUAACCUACGCCACGCGGGACCUCAACAUCAUAUCACAUAAUCUCCCCGUACGCCGGUACAACCAACGCCACGUACGGGGCCUGUCUCAACGCCGGAUAACCUACACCACGUGAGACCUGAACAUCAUAUUGCAAAUCUCCCCAUACGCCAGUACAACCAACGCCACGUAUGGGGUCUGUCCCAACGCCGGAUAACCUACGCCACGUGGGACCUAACUUUCACUUGGUGAUACUUGUAGAAAUUCCAAAGUCCGAGGAGGUACCUAGAGUAGUGCGUAUAGCACUCCAAAUUGACAUUCUAGACUCUGUUGUACCCUUGUACAACCACAUAAUUUAUAUAAAUAAUUCUAAUAUUGUGUAACCCUCCACAAUCAUCUAGCACCCGAUAAUCCCCUCUAGAAAGGUGAGAUUACUCCGGGAGACUCACGGUCAACCAAGGGUCAAACUACCCUAACCCUGGUCAACCGGACCUGCAGAACCCCCGACUUCCAAUUUCGGAUCCGAAAGUCCCUAUGGGUUCUACCAGGUAUAGGACACUUGUCCUGCAAGUUUGGUUCAGAUCGGACGGUCGGAUUUCUCACGAUCGCACGAUCUGACAGUUAAUAUAAAAUAUAAACUUUAAAUUAUUAUUCGGAACAUCCGGGGCUCCGAUUCAAAAUCCGUGAAUUCCUACACGAUCAUAGAAAUUCCUAGAUUCAUAUAUAUUAAAUUCGGGACCAUCCAACGGUCCCAACCUAUCGAACCCGGAUAACGCGCAAUAUGCGAAUAUCCGUUCGAUAGUCAAACGACGUCCGAAUUGAGAUCCGCGAAAUCCUACGCACUCGUGACAACCUAAGGAUCUCAUCGGAACACAGUGCUAGUUUUCUACAGUGCCCACGCGCCGCCGCACGCGCCGGCAGCGCGUGGGUGCCCAAAGCGAUAACGCUUCGCCGGAAAAUCUCAAAAUCACGGCUCCAAAUUCCUACCCCAGGUAUAACACCCUAUUUGGAGCCACUUUUGUUCUUGGACCUACCCCAAAAAGUGGCCGGAAAUGGCCGAUCACGGCGGCCGAAGUUUCGGCCGAUUUUCAAUUCGAAAAUCGAGUGAUCUAGAGAUCGAAUCGAUCAAAACCCAACCAACAGGCAGCUAGAACAGCUCGAGAGGUUCAAGAUCCAUACCUGGGUCGACGGAAAUGGUGGCCGGAGGAGGGAGAUCGACGGCGUUGAAGUUUCGACGACCUCCCGGCGGUUUUCUGUAUUUUCCGGCCAGCAACGGCCGCGUCGCCGGCGGGGAAUGGUCGGGGAAGGAAGGGAACGUCGUCCCGGUCAGUUUGGUACCGGCCUCGCCCACAGCCGUGGUCGGUGGCCGGAGAUACAAGGAGAGAAAGAGAGAGGGCCGACGGGAGAGAGAGAGAAGUCGCGGGAGAGAGAGAGAGAGAGAGAGAGAAAAAAAAAAUCUGAUUUUAUAAAAAAUCCCAUUUCGAAAUAUUUACGAUUAUGCCACUGGACUUCUUUUGACCAUAUCUCUCUCGUUACAACUCCGAUUCGAGCCCACUACGUGUCUGUGAACUCGUCUCAGUACGACCUAUCCAAAAAUAUAAGUCACGGUCCCAAACUCUCUCCGGUUAAAAAUAUGACUAAAAUACCCUUAAAUAAUUAAAUAAUUAAAUGAGGGUAAAAUUUGGGAAAAUUUGGGGUCGGGGUGUUACAAUAAGUGCAUGAUUUUAAGAAACACAAAGAUGUUAUACGGCCCUUUCAAAACUUUUAAACAAAAUCUUUUGGCAAUGACCUCUUACUAAAAAAAUUUGUGAUGCCCCUUCUACUGAAUUAACAAUCAAACAUAAAUACUUUUCCAAAACUGUUGUUAACAAUUUCAGAAAGAAUCCUAAUUAUUUCCCAACCGACAAUACUACAAGGGUUUCUAGACUCAUACCUUCACACUUGCACAAAACUUCUUUGUAAUGAAAAAUUACCUUUUCUCAGCUUUUGCUUACUCUUCUCUCUAUGGUUACUGUGAAAAGUAAAGAUGGAGAAGUAACUAGGGUAAAAGGGUGGGAGGAGGUUUUGAGGUCUCUUUUAUAGGUGUUUGGUGGAAUAUGAGGGCUGGCACGGGAACCAUAAAAGUUCAGUAACUUGGCUAAACUUAUGACAAGUAACUUCAAGUUCUCUGACUAGGAGAAAAAGAACUUCAAGUCCUGAACCAUACCGAAAAAACAGAUCACAUUUCCAUAACAUAUAUAUAUAUAUAUAUGUAUUUUUCCUCUUUCCCAGUUUCAUAGAGAUAAUACCUUGAUGAUUUUAUUCUCAGGAAACACUACUCAUCUGGACCAGCAGAACUUGGCUUUGGUAGCAAGCCUACAAGUGUCAAGGGCCUUCACAUGGUGGUAUUUGAUAGUGGGAUCUCCUACACUUCAAUUCCCAAGCUUACCAGGUGAGAACAAUAGAGAGCAUUCUUGUAUGGUUAAUUGAUAAUAAUUUUUGUAGAAAACUAACCAUCACCAACUCAUGUUAUCAGGUGGUAAAUGAUUUGAAUGGAAAGCCUCUAAAGGAUGCAACUGAGGAUCAAUCCCUCCCAAUCUGUUGGAAAGGCAGCAAACCAUUCAAAUUUGUUUGCGAUGCAAAGAACUACUUCAAGACCUUGCACUGAGCUUUACAAACAUCAGGAAUGGCCAGCUGCAAUGCGUGCUUGGAUAUUUUCAAUGGCAUGGAAGUAGGACUGGCAAAUCUGAAUACUAUAGGAGGUAAAAAUACUAACAUAAGAAAAAUCUUCCCACUCUUUAUUUUUUGUGUGGAUAAAGUCUCAUCUUUGACUUUCUUUUUAUGGACAUUACACGAUGUUGGCAUAUGACAACGAGAACCGGCAAACUGGAUGAGCUCCUGCGAAUGCAGUAAGGUUCCCAGUCCUGAACCAUUGUGUCAUAUUUGGAAAGAUAAAAUGUUACCUCAGCAGGAAAAAUGUUACAAGGUGGCAAAUGCGAGCAUCUCCCAAUACCAGACAACACAUACCGUCCUUGAUCCAUCUCUGAAUCUACAUCAGUAGUAGGGAGCCCUAAAUAAUUCUUUGGCAUUCGUUUGGUGUUGCUCCCAAGCGGUAUGGCUCCCCACCGGUGUGUUUUUGCAAUUUUCUUUCGACAUCAAAUAUUUAAAAUUUAAAUAAUAAAAAAUCAGAGUUUUAUCAAAGCCAAAACCAAUUUUCACAACAUAAUUCUGCCUCUUAUUAGCUAUAGCCUACUCUGAGUAUUGCCAUGAGAACAGGCUUGGAGGAAGCUACGCAUAUUGGAAUGAUGCAUUCAAUUUCUCAACUGGCAACAAUGCGCACGAAAUAUUGGAAUGAUCAAUUACACUUUUUAAUUAGAAGAUAAAGUCAAACACAAAUAACAUAGUGAUGUCAAGUUAAAUUACAGAAAGUGAUUUAUGUAACAGAGACAUUUGAUUUCUAAAGCAAAUUGCAUCACCCUUGUGUAGGAGCAAAAUUUACUCCUCAAGUAAACAAUCAAGCAACACGUCUUCCUAAUUUUCUCCAAAAUAGCUAGACUUGAUGGCCAAGCCAUACAUAAUAACCCCCACUACCAUGUCCAUUAUGGAAUGCUUGCUGAUCAUAAGAGAAAAACAAGGAACACGGAACAUAGAGCCAAUACUUAAAAUGACAUUAUUACUGUUCUACUACCAUCUACUUGAACACUCACGAGCUUGAGUGUCAGAGUGUUUUCUUGCAAGUAGUCCCCUUUUCCUUAUUGUUGGCAAGCGAAAAAGUGUCCAGCUUCUCAACAUUGAUUACAAGAUUACUUGUUGGAGGACCCGAAAUUUCAGCCCCAAUACCCUAACAAAGUUCUGUUAUAUUGAGAUACACGUUAAGCACAUAAAAAAUCUAAUAGGAAGUUGACCAAACCACUUAAGCUAGACAUUCUAUUAUUCUUGAAUCUUGAACUUGUAGGGCUGGUACCAUAUCCGUUCUUCCUACGUUUAUUUGCUUCUGUACUCUUUUUUGCUCCUCAUGAGUAUAAUCGACAUAAAAUCUCAAAGGGCCGAGAAAAUAGGGACACCUGGCAAGGUGGCUCCUGCAUCAACAAUGUAGACAUUGCCUGAAACAUAUUCAGAAGAGUCGUGUACUAAAUAACGAACUAGUGAUGUCAAUGCUGGAUCCGAAGUGCCAAAUGUUCUUAAGGGGACAGUUUUCAUAGCCACAUUGUGUAGCCAGUCUUUUUUCAUAAGACCCUCCGUGAUUUCAGAUCUGAAAAGUCCCGGCGAUAUUGCAUUCACUCUGAUUUUGUGUACUCCCAAUUCCAUAGCCAUAACCUGUUAAACUUAAUAAUAAUUAGAACCCUUCACUUACACUACCAUGUGCAGAGACAAGUACAUGGAAAUUUUAACAGUCAAAAUGUAUGGAAGGAAAAAAAAAAGUGAGACUGAAUAGAUCAGUAAUUCACAAUACAUUUCCAGAAAUUCUCAGAGGCAACAAAAGCAAAAACAAGAUAGGUGCGGUAACACACUGGUCAACCAGUGGUCAAUGUGACAAAUGGCUAUUUAACAAUAAGCAGGUGCUUAUCAUCAAUUUUAGCUAAGAAUUUGAAGUGGAAAAACUAAAAAUAUUUAUUCUACCUUUUGUGUGCCUAUGAUUCUUAUUUCUUAUUAACUACAGUUCUCUAAUUCUUAAGUUUUUUUCCUUUCCACAAGAUAACAUUUGAUACAUCUUCAAAUUGCUCUCGGACAUUGAAUCUUUUUGCUUUUUUCCCCCUUUUUAUCAAUUGCAAUGCCAUUUCGACAACACUGUCCUAUAAACCAUAAUUCACAAAGCACAAUAUUUGGCAAGAACAAGUCAUAAUUAAAACCAUGAUGAAUCUACAAUAUCUCAAACAAUGCCAAGGCAAAGUUUUGAAAAAUAUCGACUGAAAUUGUAUGUGUUUGCCCAGCACGAACUCGAACUGCAGGCCAUGAGUUGUGAUACCCACGGACCUGCUUAGAUUCAUUUGGUUGAUUGACCAUAACCCAUGAUCUGAACUUUAACCCAACAAGGAACUCAAACAACUGGGGUGAGCCAGAGCUCAAAUUGGACUCUGAUUAAGCUUCGGUAAAAGCUCAGUAACUUGGCUCAGCCUAAGCCAAAUAGCUUCAAGUCAUUAACCAUUCCCAUACAAAAGAUAGACCCCAUUAAGAUGACUAGUUUUCUAGCAUUUAAAACAGUGGCGAUUAAUGAACUAAAAAGACAAAGAAUCAAAAGCUUCCUUCAACCAGGAAGGAGAAUAGAAGGAAAUUUUGAGGGUGUCCCAUACGCCUAAUAACAAUAUUCCUUUAGUAGACUGAAAAAGAAUUGAAAUAAUUCUAGGCUCAUUUCUGUCCUUAGUCUUUUUGUUCUUAUUAAAUCCACCCCUUCCUUAUUCAAAGAUGUUGUAAUGGUCUUCUUUAUUGCUUGUGUUGAGCAGCACGCACCACCCCCAAGAGGCAGUGCAUUCCUUCAAGUUUUUAUAAUUCAAUUAUAGGCCAAAAUCCAGGCUAAGCCAAGCGGAUAAAAAAAAAAGUAUGAUUCCUUUCUCUUAAGCUAUUAACAAAAUUAUGUUAAGUCAAUGGAGAUACCUUUGCCAAGGUGUUUACACCAGCCUUUGAACAAUUGUAUGCUACACCUCCAGGCAAAUAUCCACGAUGAAGACCUGCAAUGGAAGAUACGUUGAUGAUUGAUCCUCCCUGAUCAGCGUCGCGCAUGCGUAUAGAAACAUAUUUUGACACCAACCAGGACCCUGUCAAAUUUGUCUUGAAUACAUUAUUCCAUUCCUCCUCAGACAAUUCGAGCGAGGAACUCACAUUACCUAAGGAACACAGAUGGAAAUGAGCGAUUAUGAUACACCAACAGACAGAGGUACAAUAUGAUACCCAAACAGUGAGUCUGUGAUAAAGGUCAAACUCUAAAUAUUAAGACACUAAAUUUGGGAGCAUGAAAUUAAUCACUAUCUAAUGUUUUAUAGUGCCUAAUGCAUAUUUUUAUCUUUGUUUUCUUAUAGAACCUUUUGUAUGUUAAAAUAUGAAAACAACCAUCGCUUAAACUCAAAUUUUAUCCAUUUCAAAUCAUGCAUGAAAUGACUCCCCAGACAUAUGCCAACUCAGGUCUUGCAAGAGUGUCUACGAGUGUGGAAGACGCACAUUUUCUUUGUCAUUGACACACACAGAACGUGCUGGACUAAACAUAACCACACAGAAAAGCAAAGGUUUCCCUUGUUUGCAUUUGUCAUCAACACCUAACUACACUUUCACCUACUUGACUCAUCUCAUUUGACAUCAAGUGCAGGUAGCAUGACAAAGAAUUGAAUCGACAUCUUAAACUACCAAAGAACAUCAGCAUGUGAUCAUCUCAAACAUAUCACAUUUUACAAUACUCAAUUAUCACAUUUUACUAUCUACAUUGUCCAUGGAACUCUGUUUACAAUGAAGACCCAGCCAGCUGAUACUUGUAGCACUCAAAUGGAUUCAAGCUCCCAAAUAACAUAUUAAAAAUCAGCAAUUUUUUAUUGUCUGUCCACUUCCCAUCAUUCUAGAGUUCAACAAGUAGUCAACCAAUGAUAAUGCAAGAAAAGAAUACAGAUAAACUAAACAAGUCAAAGCAUCAGGGAAAUCCCAGAACUUGAAUUUAUGUUUGAAUUUUAAAAAUGGAAGUUUUGGGUUUUCCUAUACAGCCUAAAUCUUAUUGUUGGUUCUAGUACCUCAAUUUAUCUUUCUCCAAAAACCCAAGUACAAUAUACCACAUAUGUUAAACUUAACACACACAAAACAAGAAACUGCAAAAUUUUCUCAGGAACCAAAGACAGAAAGCAAAAUCCUAAACAACAAUCAAAGCUCACCUCUAACACCGGCAUUGUUAACGAGGGCGUCGAUGCGCCCAAACGCGUCCCAAGCCUUGUUUACAGACUUCUCAAUAGCUGGCCCGUCGGCGCUGAUAUCGAGCUCCACGGCCACGGCCCUGGAGCUUCCAGGCCCAUUCACAGAAGAAGAUGAAGAAGAUGAAGAAGGCGCGGUGACGGGGAGCUGGUUGAUUUCAUCACAGACGGAUUGAAGGCGGUCGAUGCGGCGAGCCGCGGCGACGAUCCUGCAUCCAGCUUUAGCCAAGUCCAAGCAUAACUCGCGGCCGAGGCCAGACGAAGCGCCGGUGACCAUGACGACCUUGCCGUGGAGGUGGCGCCAUGGCUCGAGGUGGUCCGCGACUUGGUUCGCCAUACUUACUCUCAGUCUGUAUUGGAUUUGUUUGGUGGGUGAGUCUGGGGUGACAAAAUGCCCAGGAGGAAAGAGAAGAUCCACGGGGUUUGCUGUGGUUUUUACAUGUGGAAGUUUUGUUGCGAAUCUGGACCGUUGGUGGGUUCUGUAUGGACGGUCGAGAUGUGGGUCAACUAAAAGGAUGUUUGGUAAGGUCGCAGGAGGUGGACUCUUUCGUUGAAUUAGGAAGGUUGGCUACUACUUUGAUUUGAUCAAUUUUUAUUUUUAUUUUGGCUAUUUUCUGGUUUUUCAGGUAUUAGAUUACGUUUUUUUAAUGCCGGACUUAGAGCCGCUCUUGAGUUUUCAGAUGCUUAGGGUGAAAAUUAAAAUGAACCGUCUUUGUAGAUUCUCGUUACACAAAAAUGAAAUAUUAAACAUUUUUGUAUAUGUAUGUAUUUUUCUGGUAUCAAAUAGAUGUGUUGGUUUAUAUAUAGCUCACAUUAACACAUGUAGAAAUGAACGUGCACAUGAACUUCCUAAGCAUGUGUGUAUUGAUAAGAAAUAUUUUUGGGAGACAACAUAAACUUGGUGAUUUUUUAACAUGUGGUUUGUGGUGAGCUUGAAUCCAUUUUAUUGGUACAAGUGUCGGCUUGCUUUUUCUUCAUUGCAAACCAUAUAAAAUAGAACACAUGAAUCAUGAUACUAGUGGCAAGACACGUUUUUUCUUUGGUAGAUUAGGAAAAGGAAAGAAAAAAAGAUUUGAUUAGUGAUUUUUAACAUGGGCAUACAAUAUAAAAUUGGGAAAAAUGUGUGCAAUUAUGGGAAGACACGUGUUAUUUACACUAACCACUAUUUAUAUUUUUCAAGGUUUUGUAAAUUACACUAAUACGCUAUGAGCUUUCAAAUUAUUUUCACAAAACUCCUCAUGUUAAUUUUUCACCUAAAAAUUGUCAAUCUCAUCAAACAAAUUUCUCCACAUGACAAUAUUAACCUCAUAGAUUAGAUUGCACACCAUGAGGUAUAAUCGUUGAAGUUAAUUUUUUUUAUUUGAAUAAGUUUUUUUUUUAAUGAAUCAUAAAUUUUGAUUGAAAAUUAAGAAAUGAGAUUUUUGUUUACGGUGCGUUUGGAUGAGAGAAAUAAACUUGGGAUUUUGACAAAAGUCAGAAUUUCUAAAUAGACAUGAACCAGUUCACGUGUUUGGAUUUUAAAAAAAAAAUCGAAAUUUAGAAAUUCUACGUGGGAAAAAACAUGGAAUUUGGAGAUCAUAAAUCUCAACUUUAAAUUCUAUCUAAAAGUCAUCAUUUCUAAAAUCCCAAGAGAGAUUGAGUUUUUUAAAAAGAUUAAUUUACAAAUAAAGAUUAAAUUUCGUGUUAUAAAUCCGUCACCCAAACAAGAAACUUUACAACUAGAACAUUAAUUUCCGUCAUUUUAAAUUCCGUCAUUUAUGAAAUCCUUUAUACUUCUAAAUUUCCUCGUCCAAACACACUGAAUUUUUAUUUUGUAAGACUACAAAAACUGGAAGAAAAAAAAACGAGUUGAGAGAUUAAACUGUAAAUCGUUGACAAGUUUAAGGACCCGUUACUUCAAAAAGAUAGUGAAUAAUGACAUUGGAGGUAUGGACGGACCACCCUAUGAGACCGUGAGAGAGAUGAGGGAGCUUGAAGACUUUGACGAAUACGAGGGAGGGUGAGACCAUGGGUAGGUUAGGAGAGAUGAAUAGGCCAACAUUAGAUUCAUAAGAAAAAUGACUUAUAUAUCAAUAUAUAGGCCAACAUUAUAUAACCUUUCUGGUUCAGUUGUUAAGUGACAAAAACCAAGAAUUGAACCGGUUCAAGUCAAAAUUGGUUACCGGUUCAAAUGUCCACUCCUAUCAAUGCUUCUCAGAGAAAGUAAAAAUUAGAGAUGGGCUUGAUUGGGUUGAAAAAGUAAAACAUGCAAACGACCAGACAGUCCACUAGAAGCCCAAAGUUUUAGUUCAAAUACCUGCAAGCCCACUUCUCCAUUAACCAGCAGAAGAGGAGGAAGAAGAAGGCACAAGACCCGACCAUUCAUAAUGGGCAGCAGGGAGCAGUGAGCAGAGCGCAGAGCAGAGAUUGGGAGGGAGGGAGACAGUGAAAAAGACGUUGUUGUCAUUUCUUGAGGAAUUUUCGGACAUAAUAGACGCUCCCGAAUCUGGAUUUCACUUCAAACAAGGCAACCUAAGAUUUUUAUUUUUAUUUUCUUUUAAAGAAAAAAGAAAACUGCUUUUCAGGCUUUACUGCUGGCAAUGCGUGCCUCAAUGUGUUUUCUGAAGCAGAAAGGGAAAGCAACUAUAAAUAAAUAAAUAAAUAAAAAUUAAACUCCAAAAAAAGUGAGAUUUUUAUACUCACUCAUUCACUCGCUGACACGUGUUAAUGUUCCAUUGGCCCUUGCCGUUGUGGCCAAUCAGGGACCAGUAUGUUGUGAAAAUAAUAGAGUCUGAAUUGCAAAUGUGAGCUUAUUUAUUAUGGCAUUGAAGAGCGCCGCCUGAGAGUCUGAGAGCGGAGGAAAACAAGGACUGUGUAUUAAAUAAAUAAAUAGUAAUAAAAUCUUUUUUUUAAUAAUAAAAUUAAGAAAUAAAAUUAAUUGCAGUAAGUGAAGGGGCAUUAAUGGCAUACCUCUAUGUCACUCGGCAUCACCCUCGUACUAGCCUUUGCUACAGAAACACUAUAGUGGUCCCAAUUUUCACCUUGGUUACCAAGGAAAACAAAAACAAGAAUAAAUCUUUUGCAUCCUUGGGGCUCAAACUUUUCUUGGAUUUUAGGGUGGAAAGAUUAUGGAAAUUACAGUGCAUUUUUUUUUUCAAUUGAAAGAAAGAAUUUAAUUUUUCUCAUAAAGAGGGGAAAAAAAAAAAAUCAAAUUUUCAUGGGAAAAAUGUUACCACGCAGUGCAGCACCCAAAUUAGGUCUCCAUUUUUUUUUUCAUUUUUCAGUCAUUUCACUAGGAAAUUGUUCACCUCAAAAAGUGUUUUUGUGUAUUUUUACACUUUUGUGUUGAUUUUAAGUCAAUUGGGCUAUAGAAUGGGCCCAAUGUGCUUAUGUAUAGUUUAGUUUUGAGCAGUGGCGAAGCCAUGAAUUUAUGUGUUGGGGGGCCAACAUAUAAACCAAACAAGACAUUAAAAAAUUUCAAAUUUUCACCUUAAUAAUGUUUGAAAAAAUAAAAAAGCAGAAAAUAAUUGUUUAUCCAAUUAGGUAUCAAAAUAACACUCGUCGUUCUUUCAUAUCUCAAAAACCAUUCAUGACUGAGUCAAUGCUAAACUUUCAUGCAAUUUCCCUUUCGAUGUACAUAAUCAAAGAGUUUGUGAGAAAUUCGUCUUCCAUCUUGUUACGAAGCCUAGUUUUUACCAUAUGCAUAGCAGAAAAUGAUCGCUCUACAGUUGCAAUAGAAAUAGGAAGAGUAAGCACAAGCGCAACCACUCUAUAAACAAGUGGAUAUGUCGUUGAUCUUCUAGUUGUUAUCAUCCAUUGAGAUAGAUCAGAAAUGGUUGACAAGUUUUCGAACUCUGGAAGUUGAACGACGUCAUUCUCAAAAUGUUGAAGUUAUCUUCUCGAACCUAUCUUCUCAUGUUCUUCAAGGUCUUGCGGGUAUAACUUAUCUACCAAUUGACAAAUAUCAUCAAUUCUAAAAGAUUUAUUCACUUCACGAGGAUCCAAAGCCGACCCCAGAAUAAGCAACUCUGUUGUUUGAUCACUAAAUAUGAUAUUUAAUUAUUGGAGUUGAGAAUCUAUUGCAGCAUAAAAAAUAUCUAUCAUGUAAUAAUGCUUAAUCGUAAAAUCAUCUUGUUGAUGGCGAGCUCGACCUCGUCUUGCAACAUAAUGAGCAUUUAUAUCUAGGAUAUCUAUGUUCUGUGCUUCACACAAACAAUUCACCUUGGUAAGCAAAGAAUCCCAUCAAUCAUCUCUUAAUUCUUGGAUGAGUGCUUUAGUGCAAGAAACAUGAUUCAUGGCAUUUACGAUGUCUUGGGAUUGACAUUGCAAAGCUUGACAAAGAUCAUUAGUGAUCUCCAUAAGUUCUUCUUGACAAAGAUCAAUAGUGAUCUCCAUAAGUUCUUUCAUAAGAUGUAAGAUAAAGACAAAUUCAUAUGAAGUCAUUUCCUCAUAAGCUGCAUCAACAUCUCCUCAUUGAGAAUAAGUAGUUCCAUUAUCAAUUAUAUUAAUUAGAACUGUGCAUGUUGCACUAAACAUAUUUACCAAGCUAGUAAUUGAUUUCAAAUAAGAACCCUAACGAGUAUCACUAGCACGUUGUAAGGUGCCAAUUUGGUUCAUUCUUUUUCUAGUCACGAGCUCAUCAAUUGCAAUCAUGUGCUCAAUUUCAACAGCUUGAGCAUUUUUCAGUUCCUCAUUACGCUUGCAUGAAGCACCAACAAUAUUGACAAUAGAAGUCAAUUUAGUGAAAAAGUGGUGAGCAUGAAUAACUUCUCUUGAUGAUGCAAUUAAUGCCAAUUGUAAUCGAUGUGCUAAACAAUGAACCUAGUAAGCAUAUGAAAAAUCAUUCAAAAUCAUAGCUUGUAACCCAUUCCAUUCACCUAGCAUGUUACUUGCACCAUCGUAUCCAUGUCCUCUAAUAUUUUGAAUAUUUAGUGAAUUAUGAGACAAUAUAGAGUAUAUACCUUUUUUCAGCAUUAAUGCCUCAGUGUCUAACACAUGAACAAGCCCAAAAAAAAGGCUUAUGAAUAAGACCUUCUUUGUCAACAAAUCGCAACACUAUAGCCAUUUGCUCUCUCUUUGAUUCAUCACGCGUUUCAUCAACAAUUAUAUAAAACUUUGAUUCCCCAAUUUCUUCACAGAUUGUUUUCUUCAUUCUAGUUGAAAAAAUAUGUAAAAUUUCAUUUUGGAUCUGUGGUGAUGUGUUAGAGCAUUUUUGGGAGCUUUAUCUAAGACAAUUCCAUCAACUUUUUCAUUAUAUGUAGCCAAUAUUUCUAACAUUUGAAGAAAAUUUCCACGAUUGAUUGAAUUCUUUUUUUCAUCAUGGUCUCUAAAGGCACAUCCUUGGAAUGCAAGCCACCAGACUGCUUCAAUUUUUACCUUAAGUCAUAAUCGAUUGUCUGCAAUUUGUUGGGAAGAAUAACUCUCAACGACUUUCUGUAUAUGUUGGGAUUGAUUCAUCAAAUCCAAACAUGAUAUUUCGGCAAUUUUAUGAGGGGAGUUAGGAUCUUUCCCCUCAUGAUUUAGAAAAGAACACUUUUUUACAUCUCUAACUUUCUUCCAACUUUGAAAUCCCUCAAGAGUGAAAGCAUUUUUCCCAGAAUGUUCAGAUGGUUUGUUAAAAAGAUAGUACAGUAGAUAAAAAGCUACAUCUUUCACAGGUGAAUAUUCUAACCACAAAGGAAAUAGUUUGAACCAUGAACUUUGAAAGUUACGCUGAUGAGUUACUGAUCCUGAUUUUGGGUACUUAGAAAGUCUAGGUUGGUAUGGGCUAGCUUUAAUGUAGGCUCGUCGAAUUUCAUCACGUUGAUUAACAAGAUAAUUCCAUAUUUGCGGACGUGGCCCUGGAUCGCGCUCUAAAGUACUAAUAUUUUCAUAUGCUACUGUCUCAAUAUUAGAAUCAGGUACAAAUGAGGUAACUUCAGUAUGUUUUCUUUUGAAAAAUCCAACAAUUCUAGGUUGUUUCUUCAUCUACAAACCAAUUACAAAGUUUAUUAAGGACAUGAUUCAUAAAUUAUUCCACACAAUAAAAAAAUAAUAUAUUAUGCAUAGAAGAUAUAAGAUACGAAACAUAUAACUAUAACAAUGAAAACUUCAAUUUCCACUCAUAUAAACAUAUACAAAUAUAUUCUCAUAAAAAGCAAAUAAACAAAGGAAAAAAAAAACUAUGACUAUGUAAAGUUAUUGUUGGGGUCUUUUUCCAUCGGAAAGCUCAUCUGGAUUUGUUGAUUCUUGGACCGCCAUAGAGUGGUGAAUCAAGCCUUCGUUGCCCCUUUUUCUAAGUUAGCGAGAACUAGACCCAAAGUAUCUCGAGGAAGAAGCAAGUCCCAGGGGAGUACUUUGUUCUUCUGACAGCGACUGCGUGUUUUGUGCGGAUGUUUCCGGUAGUCUGACAAAGAGUUGAAGAUGGUGCAUUGAUGUUACACAGACUUGGCAUGAGAGUUUGCUUUGUGAGUUAAGGUACUAAUAGACUUGGCAUGAGAGGUUAGGUGUUUCAGAUAUGGGAUGGAGCUUUUUUGAGAGAGAGAGAAAGAGAGAGAGAGAGAGAGAGAGAGAGAGAGAGAGAGAAAGGUGGCUUGAGUAGAUUUCCAACAGCUUGACGAAAGCUUUGUCAGGCUCUUAGGUGGCUUGCCAGAAGAGAAAAAAGGGAAGAAAUGGAAUAAUAUAGCUUAAAAUUGAAGGGUUCCAGAGGUAAGUGGUGAUAAUUGCUCUCUCUGUAUGUGUUUAUGGGAGGGAGAGGAAGAAUAUGGAACAACAUGACUUGAGAUUGAAGCUUCCAGUAAUGAGUAAGGAUGUUGCUUGCUGUGGAUGAGUUGAAGAUGACUUGCUGAUGUUGAUCUGAGAUUAUCUGAGCUUGGCAUGAGAGCUUGGAAUGUGGGAGCUAAAGACCCACAAGUUUAGCAAAUGAGAAUACUUGUGCUUGGGUUGGUGUUUGAUAUGCUUGAGUUUGGGUGUUGAGAAUUUAUUGUUUGAAGCUUUGGCUAUGGUGGUUUGAUUAUUUGGCUAUGAUAGUUGUUGGGAUGCUUAUAGCAUUCAAAUGAAUGGGGUUUCAAAGAGCAUGGCUGAGGAAAGAAAAGCUUAAGACUUUGAAGGGUAUGGUGUUUGUGACAAUGAUUCUAGAGAAAUUUAUGAGUUCUAGAAGUUGGAGGAUAAAGGAAAAGCCUGAGGCUUGAAAGCUAUGGUGUUUAUAGUUUGGAAGGGUAUGAGAAGGAAGGAAAAGCUUGGAGUUAUGGUUUGUGAGGCUUUAUAGGGAAAAUUUAGGAUUUCAAUGAUAGGAAAAUAUAAGAAAUGGUUGUGAUAGCUGAGGAAUGGCUGGUAUGGCCGCUGCAAUGCUUGCAACAGCUGAAUGGAAGAAGGAAAGUGGUCUGGUGGUUGCUGAAGGGAGUUGAUGGCUGCUGGGAUGCUUGCAGCAGCGGAGUGAGGGAGUGUUGGCUGAAGAAAAAUUGGUGCCCUUUGCUUGGGUCGUGAAUGCCAAUUUAUAGAGGGUGAGGAUUUUCCUUUAUUUCCAAUAGGUAAAGGGAGGUGCUACAACCAGCCUAUUUUCAGUGGUUAAAAGGAAGCACUAGGGCAUACUGUUUUCCAGCAGGUGAAGCUAGGUACCAUAAACUGAUUAUUUCCUAUGGGUAAAAUGAAGCGCUGGAGACUGCUUGUUUCCAGUGGGUAAUAAGAAGUUCUGAAAAAGACUUGUUUCCAACGGGUAAAGCUAGGCAUUUGGAAAAUGACUAUUUCCUAUGAGUAAAAGGAAGUGCUUGAAAAAUAUCUUAUUUGCUCACCCACAUUGGAGAAGUCUAAGUAAUGGGCUUGGACUUUGGUGCUCCCAAGUAGUUAGCCCAAAGUCUCCAUUAUCCAAGAGCUUUCGUGGGCCUUGUGGACCUCGGUAACCUUCCAUACCACAAUCCCUCAUGCAAGCCCCGUAAACCACAUGACUUGGGUUCAUGUGAGCUUGAUAGGUGAUUGGCAUGAGAAAAAUUUAUUAUUAGUUUGGCAUGACAUGUACACUAUUUCUAUAUUUUUUUUAAUGAAUUAAAUCCCAAAAUACAGCUUGGAUUAACGCAUGACCGACAUUAUAUGUUAUAUUGGGCUUUAAAUGUCUUUGGGCUUCUCGUGACUUUUUUAGGCCUCAAUAGUUAUCUAACUUAGAAUUAAAUUUUUUGAAGCAGGAGGUUGGAGAGCGUUACUGAAUUUAAUUAUUAUCUUUUGAUGUGUGCGGCUGCUUCAAACUAAGUUCAUGUUACUUCAUAUAGGAACAAAAAUUAAAAUCCUAAUCCUUUUUUAUUUGGGUAAAAGUCUACUUCCUAUUUGAUAAAGGAGAUUUUUUGAAACUUUAUUUGAUUGGUUGCUUUUAUUUUUUAUUAAUAUAUUGAUGGGCCCCAAAAUCACUUAGUCUCUCUAUUUCGUGAAGAAAUCACAGUCUUUUACUUGUAAAGAGAAACACAUCUUUCCUUUAUUGUGAGGGGUCUACAAACAAUAAUUAUUAUAUAUACUUCCUAAAAUAUGAAGGAAUAAAGGACCAAACAUAAAAAUUUAUCAAACUUAUGGGGGGGUCCAGGCCCUUUAGGCCUUCAAAUACCUCCGCCAUUGGUUUUAGGUGUGUCACUAUUGGGGGAGCUUUUAUAAUAAGAGGGAUUUUGGUAAGAGGGUUGAAUGAGGGGUUCAAUCGCACCAUUCAUUCAUUAAAAAAGUUUAAGUUCAAGAUUUUUUUUUCUCUCUCUCUCUCUCUCUCUCUCGUUGGAAGGUGGGAUUGAACCCUUCAUUCAACUCCCUCACCAAAAUUUGAAGGUGUAGGACCCCUUGGAGUAGCAUCAUGCCCAUCUUCGGAGUCUGAUCCUUAUUCAUCACGGUCAUCCCCCACAAUCAUAUUACAUGCAAAAUGAUGCAUACAUUAAUAAACCGCUCCAGAUCUUCAUGAUGCCAUAAUCGAGUUUGAAGAAUACCAAAUUCUCACUCCACAUUCUUGCGGUACGCUUCCUAUUUUCAUGCAAAUAGUUAUUUCUUUUUACCCUCAAGUUGAGAAAUAGUUUGGAUGAUGUUUGCCCAUUUUGGGUAUAUCUCAUUAGCAAGAUAAUAUCUCUUGGUGUAUUUAGUACCAUUGUAAACAAAUUAAACUUUUGUCUCACGCCCCUCAAGUACCUGAGCAGAUAAGAGUGAAGAUUAAAGUAUAUUAAAGUCGUUACGUGACAUUCUGAAAUACAAAUGCCAGGUCCAUGUAUCAAAAGACACUAUGGGUUGGCACGAUCCGGUUCUCACCCAAACCGAAAUCGGUACUAUUUAUUAGGUCUGGUUUUUACUGAAAAAGUAUAUGGUCUGGUGCAGUCCGGUGUGCACAUAAGCAGGUUCGAUUUUCGAUUUUUCUGGCUUUGGAGAAUAAUCUUCUUCUUCUUUUUUUAAUAAUAAUUUUUUUUUUUUUACAAAACUCAACUAAAAUUUAAUUUUUUGGGCUUAAAAAUUCAUAAAUGGACCAAUUUCAUGCAAAUGGAGGUGAUUGGGCCUAGAAAAGAUAUAUGAUUUGGAGUUGGGUUUGGGGAAAGAUUAGUUAUGGGCUUAGAAAUUUACCAUUGUGCUUAAAUAUUUUAUUAAAAAAUACAUAGCCAGUUCAGUUUGGCCCAGUCCCAUUUUUUCACUAUAAGAACAGGAAUUGGACCAAACUGGUCUGGUCCAAUAUUGGUAACUAUUUUUUUUUUUGCUCAAUUCGGCUCGGUUUUCUAGUUUAAAUGCCCACCUCUAAGAUACUACGGGCUCAAGAAUAAUAAUUGAUGAUCAUGGUGCCCCACGUAAGCUCCAUGGUGUGAGGUUGGGCAUGCAGUCCAUGCUGCCAAGCAUACCAGGAAACCCACAAGGUUCGUUGGGUGUCGGUCACUGGAGGUAUUGUCUUUCGUACAUUGCAUGGAUUGUAUGACAUGUCUCUUCACCAUGUCUUGUCUUCCUUGUGACUAGUGGGGGAUCCUUGAUUUUUAUCCCAAGGGAUCAACCUGUAAAAAUAAACAAACUUUUUUUGCACAACAAAUUCCUUUAAAAAUUAAACAAUGCCACUAUCAUUUACAAUUCAUAGUAAAAAAUAAAGACUUGUUUAUGUUGUUUAUGUAUAACUAUUAGAAAAUCUUAUUACAAAUUCAAUACAAGAGAUUUGAAAAAAAAAAUAGAAAUAAUGUGAGUCAAAUGAGAAUUAUUUGAAAAUCUUCAAUAUGAGAUUAUAUUGUGCAUAUUGGCUCUAUAUUUGGUUCUCUUAAAGAAAAAAAAAAGUCCAAAACAUGCUACUUUUAAAAAGAAAAAGUCAAAAUUAUUUCUAGUUUUAUUUUCAAAAUUAAUUACGUUGAAAAGGAUUUUAAAAACAAGAAAAUAUAAAGAUAAAUUUGUGGAGGUAAGAUGUUUGGCAAUAUUUGUUGCACCACUUGUUUAAAUUUUCCACCCUUUGAUCCAUUUGAGGGUUUACUCAAAUGUGUGGACAGCCAAAAACGGUCACAAGGCACAGCGGGUAGGGGUGGACAUGGUUUAGAUUGGAUUGGUCGAAUUAAUUACAAUAUAAUAGUUUGAUCCAGUUUGAUUUUGUCAAAAAUCAUGAAGGAAGUUGAACCAAACAAAACUAAUUUAAUACUGUUUGGUUCGGUCGGUUUGGACCUAAGUCCAGUUCUCUUUCUUUUGCAUUUUUUAAACAUUGUUAGCCAAGAUUUUUGUAGAAAUAUUACCUAAACUUAUACCUCAGUUUCAAUUUGUCACCUUAAAGAAAAAUUUAAGAGAAAUGUCACCUUAAUUUUUUAAAAUCCAUGAUUUGUCAUAUGACUUUAACAUCAUCCAAUUUCCCAUCAAUUUUGAGGGUAUUUUAGUCUUUCCAUUUUCAAGGGUAUUUUUAAAAUGGAAAAAUCAUUAUAUAUAAAAAAAAUACGGUGGGUGACCAAGCAAACUUUAGAUCCUUCAACACAAAUAGAGUGGCGUAAGUUAAUUAAACUAUGAAGACAAGAAAGGUGGUUGGAUUUUGGGUAGGAAGCUUAAGUAGUUUUAAAUCAGGUAUCUGAAAAUUUUAGACAUGCUCAAUGAAUGCCAUAAAAUAUUCGUACAUGCUCAGAGAGAGAGAGAGAGAGAGAGAGAGAGAGAGAGAGAGAGAGAGAGAGAGAGAAGAGGGAGGAGGGGGGGUCCUAUGCGAUGUAUUUGGGUGUGGGUGUUUCAAAAUUCAAUAAUUAAUAUAACUCAAUUCAAAUAUCCUUAUAUAGUUAUUACUUCAUUAGAGUAUUACAAAUGUAAAAUAAAAUAUAAAUAAAUAAAUAUACACAUAAUGGUUCAGUUUGGUUUAGCCCGGUUUACAAAAACUCAAAAAUCAAAAUCAAACCAUAAAUAGUCUGGUUCGGUUUUUAAAAUGUUUGACUUUUUCUUGGUUAGUUCGGCCAAAUUGAUGCCCACCCUACUUGCUUGUUAAAGGUAAACCUAUAGAAAGCUUUCAUCUUUGGGAUUUAAGACGACAACCUCUCAAUCCAUUUCAUCUACUAUUGCUUUAGGUUGUGUUUGUAGGUGGUAUUAUAGUUUCCAAGUUCCAAUGUCCAGCUUAAUCUCAAAGGUUCUUUGGGGCAUUUCGUCGAACAGUUGGUGGGAAAUCAGAGGCCACCACCCAACCUUCCAUGGGGUUGUUAUAAAAGCUGCCAUGGAGGUUUUCCGGCAUUGAAAGGGUCAAGCGACCCCGUUUAUCCCUAUGUGAGUCCGCCACUGCUUGUGACAGUCAUGCCAACCACUAUUUCACAUUCAAAAGUGAAACAAAUUUGUUGGCUCAUUGUAUUAUGGUGGAGGAGAAAGAUAUUCAUACAAGAGAUGAAUAAUUCUGAAGGCUUUGACAUUUAGAGAUAAAUGGAUGAUAUUGAGAAUAAAAAUUUGAGGGUUGAGAUGUUGUAGGGGUCUUUUUGUUCCAACAGCCUGACAAAUGGGCUUGGGCUGCCGUAAGGAAAAGGCAAACAAAAUUGUCCUUGUGACUGAGUUUGAGAACCAAGCUUCAAAAGAGUUUUGAAAAGUUUGUAAAACCUUAGAAAACACCUUUGGUUCCUUUCACCAAUAACCAGAUGAAUGUGACAGAUUAGUAAUAUAGCUUGGCUUAAGAAGCUUGUGGCAUGGGAGCUAAGCCUUCACGAGUUUAGCAGUAGAGAGAAAGAGCAUGAAUUUCUAAUGGAAACGAAGGCGUAAAGUAAGGGGGAGAGAGAUUUGGGAAGAUUUUGACUAAGGAAGAAAUGGAGAGAUAGAAGUAGAGAAUGGGGUGUCUUGAGUAAAUUUCCAACUGAUCGACAAAAGCUUGGUCGUGCUAUGGAUGGUGGUGUGUUUGCUGGGCAGAAAGAGUCUCCUUUUAUAGGCGCUGGGACCUUUAAUUUUAUCAAGCCUCUCUCUCCCUUUUCCUUCACUUUCUCCCAUUCACUCUUAUUUGGUGAAAUUUCCCCAGCCUGAGCAUAUAGGCACCAAGCCUUUUGGGGUUCCAAGAUCUUCACACAGUUGGACCUCUCCAUGUGAGUGAGGUGCUGCCCUCUUUUUAUUAUGGUUUUCCUAUUAGAGCUUGCAGAAGAAAGAAACAGGGGUAAAGGCAUUAGUCUAAUAGGUAUUCCUCUUGCGCAUAUGAAUCUCCGUUGGUUUUUACAAUGGUCUGCUAUUUGAAUUGGUUCUGAGGUUUUUGACAAGCUAGAUACGAUGCUAGAUAUUUUAUAAGGUACUGGGUUGGGCUUUUCUAAGGUAUUGGGUCAUUGGCAUUUUUAUUUCCAGCGGCUAGCUAAUCCUUCAUGGUUUUGUCAAGCUGAUGGAAACAACUUAUUUGCUUCUUUCUUUGUCAAGGCGCUGGGCAUCUUAGCUGGUGCGAGAUUUUCCUAAGUAUUGUAAACUAUUGCAUAUCUUCCUAAGGCAUUGGGCCAUUUUUUCUCUCUCCCUUGCCUACCCAUAUGUUUGGGUUCAAGAAAGGGACUUGAGUUUUGGUGCUCUGAAGUAGCCCAAAACUUUCAUCCCUUGAACAUCAAUAGGUCUCGUGAAUACUUAUAACCAUCUAUACUACAACCUACUCAGCAAGCCCCAGACGUUCACGUGGCUUGGGUCCACUUAAGCUUGCAGCGCGGCUCGAUGUCAAACUAACUGUUUUCGCUUGGCAUGUUGCAUGUUUGCUUGGCGUGGCAUGUUGCACACAACUCAUGCAAGCGCAUCCGACAAAUUCAUGCGUAUCCUAGUCGGGCUUCUUCCUCAAUUAAGCGUUGCGUUGAACUAGAAAUAUGUUUGGACCCAGCCUUAAAUUUUUUGGGUCUCAACAGAUGGACAUGAGAGAUUCUGUCUAGCUAUUGAAAAUAAAAUUUUAUAAUGUUAGAAUCUCGAAUUUUAUACAAAUACAUGAAAAUCCAAAUGUACAUGAAAGUUUAAAAUUUCUAAUGAAAUUCUAUGUUAUCAGAAUUUUAAAAAAUUAACACAAAUAAAUUAAUACAUGACAAUCUAAAUUCAUUUCCUCCAUUGUUGCAAAGACUACAUUUGCAUAAACUGCAUGGAAAUCUUAUUUUUUACAUCCUAAAUUGGCAUCUCCCCACUCUAAACAUUCUUAUAAAAUUAUGUAGACAUGAAAAAAAAAAAAAAAAAACAGUGAAGAGAAUCUUUUGAAGUCUUUCCCUUUCCUUUACCUUCCUCUUCAUCCCCUUUCUCUCCGAUGCUGUUUGGUCUUUUCCCUCUCAAUUACUGAAUUACUUUCCCUUUGUCUGAGAUAUGUAGAGAUGCCUAUUGCCAACUCCCCUACGAAAAGACUUAAUAAAGUAUCUCAAAAGCCCUCUGCUUUUAUUUCUUUGUCUGCCAUUAAAAUGCCAUAAAUAUAACCACUUUACUUCUUCUCUCCCAUCCCCACUUGCCACCAUCUCUCCCUUUCCCUCUCACGCUCUCUCUCUCUCUCUCUCUCUCUAGGUAGAGAGAGAAUAAAAAACUCUGGUCAUUUUCCGGCGGUUGCUCUCGUUUUCACUUUACUUAAUAUCUCCCAUUUUCCAUCUUUGUCAUUGACUCUUCACCUGAAAAUGGGUUGAUAUUUUGCGUCCAAAGUCACACGAAAACUGGUUUCAGGGUUCUGCCAUUAAUCCCAUUUUCACAUCUGGGUUUCCUCUAAUCCCAACACAACCCAUCAAAAAUAGAGAAAGGCGCGACCUUUAUUAAGCCAAAAAAAAAAAACACACACACACACACACACACAAACACAAACAAAGAACAAGAAAACAUGAUCAGUUUCACAGACCUCUACCACGUUCUCACAGCUGUUGUGCCACUCUAUGUGGCCAUGAUCUUAGCCUACGGCUCAGUGAAAUGGUGGAAGAUCUUCAGCCCUGAUCAGUGUUCGGGCAUAAACCGCUUUGUGGCUCUGUUUGCAGUUCCUCUGCUCUCUUUCCACUUCAUCUCUACCAACAAUCCCUAUGCCAUGAACUACAGGUUCAUAGCAGCUGACACUCUUCAGAAAGUCAUAGUCUUGGUGGCCCUAGCAGUAUGGUCAAGAACCAGCUCAAGAGGCUCUCUAGAAUGGUCCAUAACUCUCUUUUCUCUCUCCACUCUCCCCAACACUCUGGUCAUGGGCAUACCCUUGUUAAAGGGCAUGUAUGGAGAUGCCUCAGGCAGCUUGAUGGUCCAAAUUGUGGUCCUCCAAUGCAUUAUUUGGUACACUCUGAUGCUCUUCUUGUUUGAGUACAGAGGAGCUAGGCUCUUGAUUGGGGAACAGUUCCCAGACACUGCUGGCUCCAUCAUUUCCUUCAGGGUUGAUUCUGAUAUCAUUUCCUUAGAUGGGAAAGAGCCGUUGCAAACUGAAGCUGAGGUUGGUGAAGAUGGCAAGCUCCAUGUCACUGUCAGAAAAUCUACAAGCUCUCGCUCUGAAAUCUACUCCAGAAGAUCCCACGGACCCAACUCUGGCGUUUCCUUAACUCCAAGGCCUUCGAAUCUAACAAAUGCUGAGAUUUACAGCCUUCAGUCUUCAAGAAACCCAACUCCCAGAGGCUCAAGCUUUAACCACACUGAUUUCUACUCCAUGGUGAACGGCAAGAACAUGAGCAAUGCGAGUCCAAGGCAGUCAAAUUAUGGAAAUGUUGGGUUUGAUGAAGAGGCAGGAGGAGUUGGGAUGAGAGGAGGAACAAAUGGGGUUUAUCCGCCGGGGAAUUCGGGGUAUCCCGCACCUCCUACGGCCGGAAUUUUCUCUCCGGUGACAGGGCCCAAUGCGAAGAAGAAACCCAAUGGGGCUGAUGGCGGUAAAGAUCUUCACAUGUUUGUUUGGAGCUCAAGCGCCUCACCUGUGUCUGAAGGAGGCAUUCAUGUUUUCAGAGGUGGAGAGUAUGGCAACGACAUUGGUGGGGUUGCUCACCAAAAGGGUAUGCUAAUUUGCCAACACUAAUCUUUGAGAAUAUUUGUCACAUGGGCAUGCUUGUUUUGGCUCUAUUAUUAGAUUGUUGUGUUUGUGAUGUGUAAACUAUUUGUUAAGGUUUUGGAUCUUUCUGUACAUUUAUGCAAACUGUAUUUGUCUGGAUGAAUGUGGGAUUUGAUUUUUAUCUGCUUGUGGGUGAAGAAGUGGGGUUUGUUGGAUUUUGUUUGUUAUGCCCUUUCCUAUAUGCCCCAUUUUUCUCUUGUUGCUUUUCCAAAACAAAAUCCCCUGUUUUUUGUUUCUGGGUCUUAUUUUGUCAUUACUGGUGACUAGUGGCAUUGCUUUUUGUCAUGUCCUUUUUUCCUCAUGUUUUGAUCUGCAACAAUUGGUUUUUGCUUUCAUAUUUAGAUUAUGAUGAGUUUGGCCGAGAUGAGUUCAGCUUUGACAACAGACCAAAUUCAAAUGGGGUUGACCGGGAAGGUCCUGUGCUUUCCAAGUUGGGUUCAAGCUCCACCACUGAACUCCAUCCCAAGACAGCUCAUGGUGAACCAAAGGCCACAGCCAUGCCACCUGCUAGUGUUAUGACCAGACUGAUUCUUAUCAUGGUUUGGCGAAAACUCAUUCGGAACCCAAACACUUACUCCAGCCUUAUUGGCCUCACCUGGUCUUUAGUCUCAUAUAAGUAAGCAUAACUAAAUUGUGAAAUACUUUCAAGAGGGGCUUUACAAUCAUAAUUGGAAGUUUAUAAUCUGUGUUGUGAUUUUUCAGGUGGCACGUUGUUAUGCCCGCAAUCGUGGCCCGUUCAAUCGCCAUUCUGUCAGAUGCAGGUCUUGGAAUGGCCAUGUUUAGUCUUGGUAUGUUAAAUUUGCAAAGUUAAUGCUUUUGUGCUAAAUAUUGUACAACUCUAGUUGGACAACAUGUUCUUAGAUGGCUGAAAUAUGUAUUAUUGAUGAGCAUUAUCUUUAAUGGGAUUGCAGGCUUGUUCAUGGCAUUACAACCAAAGAUGAUUGCCUGUGGAAAUUCAGUUGCUUCCUUUGCCAUGGCAGUUCGAUUCCUCUCUGGUCCGGCUGUCAUGGCGGCAGCCUCAAUUGCUGUAGGACUGCGAGGUGUUCUGUUGCACAUUGCCAUUGUACAGGUAAUGAAAGUUUGCCUGUGGAAAAUUCUUCAAAGGCUUCAAUGGAUAACAAAUAACCUUUUGUUCUGUGAUUUCAGGCAGCUCUUCCACAAGGGAUUGUUCCCUUUGUCUUUGCCAAGGAAUACAAUGUUCAUCCUGACAUACUAAGCACCGGGUUCGAAACAUGAACUCUCAUCUUGAUUGUAAUUCCACUUCUUAGUCUUAAACUUGUAGUAAUCUGAUAUAAGCAAGUUUGUUUGUGUUCUGCAGGGUUAUUUUUGGAAUGCUAAUUGCUCUGCCUAUCACAUUGGUUUACUACAUCCUGCUUGGACUGUGAAACAGAGAAUCUCUUAACUUGUUGAGCAAACAGUAGUCAUAAUGUAGUUCUCACCAUUUUGGCAUUGGGAUUUUGCUUUUUGGCUCUCUAACAGAAGAACAGCAUAGAUUUUCAGAAGAACGUAGACAAGAAGAAGAUAGAGAUGUGGGAGGAAAUAUAAUGACAAGUUCUCUUCACACAAGGUAGAUAGAGAGAGGAGAGAGAAGAAUCAGAGAUGGAGAAAUGAGCUUUUGUGGAAGCUCUGCUACUUUUUUAUUCUCAUUUUGCCUUUUUCUAUGAACCUUUUGUGCCUUUGUUUUUUUGUUCUUUUGAUGAAGUGAAGCUUGUUUGUAGUUGGAGGUGCCCUCUACUUUUUUAAUCUUUUCUUUUUUCCUAAGGUCAAAAAGGAUUUAAACCCAACUGGAAUCUCUAUGCAAGAAAUUUAAAGCCAAACCAAAACUGCUUUUUCUACAAGAAAAAGUCUGCAGCCAAACAGUGGAUGCCUUCCGCAGCCUAACAUAUCAAAUGCAUGCGAGUUGUUUAUUGGAUUUUGUGGUAAUGUUACCAGCUGUGAGCUGUGACUUGAGUAAAUAUAGCCCAAUAUAAUACAUAUCUGCUUUUUUCUCAAGCAUUUAAAUUUAAUUUUGGUCAUAUCUGCUUGGAACUUGAAAAUGAGAGGCAUGGCAAAAGCUUUGCAGGCAAGCUGCUAGAAAAGAUAAAGCAAAUGUAUAGCAGCAGCCUAGCUGACAUGCUGAGGGGAGCCUAUCUCCAUAGCCAAUGUCGGUUGGUAUUGCUCAAAGUCUUGCUUUAAGGAUGUGUUUGGCAGACCUUGUAAACCUCUCUGCUGCUGGUCUUUGAAUUGGGGAACACUAGGGACCGCUGAGAGAGAAAAUUGCUAUCCAAAUGAACGAGGAGCUUAAACUUUAACUUUUGCAGCAAGUUGCCCAAUAAAGUUUCUGCUGAGAAUAUUUAUUUUCCAUAAGAAUGGAAAAUAUUUUCAACCUUUUUAUAGCGUGUGAUUUGAACCUCUUUUUGCUCGUUGUGUUGUCUCUCAACCAGUGAAAAGCUCUUCAGCAUGCUAGUAGGUCGGGAUGAGUGGUUGCUUGCUGUCCAGGAUUUUUUCUAGGGUUUGUUGCACUUAAGUUGUCACGCUUGGAUUUAACCUUAAACCAAAUCAAAAGGAGUGAAAUCCAAAUUCACUUGAAAGAGUAGUUAAACCAAGAUUGUUUUACAUAGUUAUGGAACUUCUAGUGUAUAUUAUCUUUCAAAAGUACAACAUUAACCUUUUAAAAGGAUUCUAAAGCUUUUAAGAUAACCACAAGAUCUCAUAUUUCGUGGCCAAAACGUCAAAAAAGAGCUUAACUUCAAGUCUAAUCUUUUCUAAAAGGGAUCGGAAAUGGUGCGUUAUAAAGCUCGGUAAGCAAAAAUAUUCAUGGCCAUGAGUGAGGGUGAGGACCACAACUAUAUAGGAGCUGACACACAAGUAAUAUUCCAAAUUUGCUAUAUUUUGGGUUCUAACCCGUUUGGUUCAUGAGAAAGGAGGCUUGGAGAUGUGAAAUUAAUUGAUUUUCCAUGUUUGAUAAGUCCAUGUAUGGGAAAUGGUUGCUUGGUACAUUGGCAAGUAUGGAAGAAAAUGAAGUCCUCCUCCCAACUUGGGUUUUGUUUUCCCUCAUCAUGAGAAAGUUUGGGGAAACGAGCAAACAUUCAAUGCACAUUUUUCAUGAUCAUUUUGUCCCCAUUAACAAUUUAGAAUUACAAUAUAUCAUUAAAUGCACUUAUUUUUUAUUUGAUUUAAUAUGGAUAUAAUUGAAAAAUUAUACAAACUUUGUUUUCCAUUCCUACUCAAAACAAAUAUGAGAAAUGAAAUAAAGUGAAAUCUCCCGGUUACUUUCUCGGCAUUACAAAACGUGGGAAAGAAAUUUUUCAUUUCUCAUCCCUUAAAAAAUAACAUGGGAAAUGAUUUCCUUUUAAAUCCGUUCCGCGAACCAAACGAGACCUAAGAGGACAAUAAAUUUUUGGAGCCCUACUGCGAAAUGAACUAAAGUUUCAAGUCUUGACCUAAAAGUUUCAAGUUUCUUCUAUUUUCACUUUCCAAUCUGAUUGAAGCCUAACAAAAUUCUUUUGCAAUAGGAAUGAAGUUAAUGAGUUCUCUUCCCUCCUCCAUGCCACCGCACCAUCUAAAUCCCAUAAAGAGAGAGGAGAGAGCUGGAGAGCAAAUCUUGAGGAUACAGACUACUUGUCAAAAUGUACAUCUUCUCAUCUCAUGACACACACAGCCAUCAUAAUCAUCCUUCAUCAUUUCAAUUCAUCAAAAGCCGCAUCUUCAGUUAAAGCAAGCUAGAUUUAUGGGUCUGCUAUAAAAUAUGUAGUUUGGGUCCUUCCUUGAGAGAGAGAGAGUAGUCAAUGAUGGUGAUCAUUAAAGAAAAUGGUAUUAAGUAUUCAAAUGUGUGAGUGACAGCAAUCUCAAUCAAAGUGACUGUCUGGUUUGCUUAAACUUUUUUUUUCUUAAGUAGUGCUUCCACCUUUUCUCUUCCUUUUUCAUGGAAAACCUAAUUGAACCAGGAAAGUUGUAUGCAGAGCAUGAGAUGAUUCUACAGAAUAUAAUGAUGAAACCCAGCAGCCACCUUGUAUUUUUAAUCAUCUUUCAAGGAAUGUGCAGCACGUGUGCCACUUGGGUCACAUUGCCCCAUUCAAACUUUUCUUUGUUUUAUGCCCCACAUAUUAUAUAAAUAUAAAUGCAUAUGUUAUUAGUUGUAAAGUCACAUGGAAGAGUACUAGUUUUAUAAGAAGAGAAUGUUUGUGAAUACAUGGGUUAUGUGACAGUUUGGUGUUAGUGGCGACCAAAAAGCCUGUUUUUUUACUUAAUAAAAUCAAAAGAUAAAAGCCGACGGGUUUAGAAAGAGCUUUAACUUGCAUACGAGUGAUUUCAGGUUUUAAUCUUCGUGACUUCUUGACAUUAUAUGUGUAAUCUUCUUCUCCAAUAUCGUUGGUAUAAAAAGAAAUUAAAAAGGAAAAAGAAAACCAAACAAAAGCAGAAUGGUGGGGUGUGUAGGUGCUUGAUGCAUCCAGUGCGGGCUCAAGCUAAUUUUGAGUGGCUUUUCUUACUUGAGGCCCAAAAUAUAUCAGAUUCCCUACAUCUCACUGUAUAGCCCAAAUAAAAAAGUCCUAAACAAAAAGAGACCACCCAAAAUUAAGAAGAGAGGUAUUGAAAUUAAGAGCCCGUGAACAAAUACUUCAUGGUCCAUCCAUAUAAAAACAGAUCCAAACCGCAAGCAUCUUCGCUCAUAAGGAGGCUAGAAUAAGGGGUUAUUGUGAGGGGUUAUAAUGAGAGGGUUCUUAAUAGUUGUUCGAUUUAGUGUAUGGUUAUUAUUGAACUGUUAGAUUGAACUCCUUCAUUGUUACCCCUCAACAUAGCUCCUCAUUAUAGAAGCUCCCCCUUUACUUAAGACAAAGAAUAAUGUUUGGUCUAAGAUUCGAUCUAAACUUGUGGGUCCUUAAUUCCCAUGCCACAAGCUUGUCAUGCCAAAUAUUUUCCACAUUAUCAACACUUUCUCAAACUCAAGUAACAUCCUUCCACUAUUAGACCAUAUGCCCCUCCGUCCAUCUCUCACUAACAUGUAUUGCUAUGUGUUGACAUGAAAUAAAUUAACUGUUUUUUUCCCAACUAAAUUGUUUCCAUAUUCAUUUUCUAUGCUUACUUAUCUCUUUGUGACACAGUCAACAUGUCUACAUGAUUGAUUUGUAAAGUAUCAGACAUGAUAUAUAUAUAUAUAUAGUCCCUUUCUAUUGAGGGAUUCUUCAAAUAAUUUUAUUUGAAGGAUACCUUUUAGGGUAUUCUAUAAAUUUUUUUCCAACAAUCCAAAUCAUCUAUUUUUUAAGUCAACAUUCAUAGAUCAUCUUUACAAAAAAUUAGACAAAUCGGAAACCAUUUCGACAUCCAAUUGUAUUCUACAAAAUCAAUGAAUACGGUGCUCCAAGAAAGUACUAAAAUUUCAAUAACACAAUUGAGUGGUCAAAUGAUAUCGGAUUCAAGUAAUUUUUUGUAGAGAUGAUUUUUGAAUGAUUAUCUAAAACAUAGACGGUUUGAAUUAGUGAAAUACAAUGCGAAAUAGGCCUUACAAAAAUGUCCAUCAAAUAAGUUAAUUUGAAGAAUCCUCAAUAAAAGCUAUAUAUAUUCCAAAAUGUACGAGCGGACUGUCGUCAAGUGAUCUUACCCAAGACAAAUGCUGCUUGUUUUUUGUUUUUGUUUUUGUGGUCCAUUACAAAAGUAAAUAUAAUGCUUACAAAAACAUGUCGAACUAUCAACAAGAAUUAAACGACCAGGCAUUUACACUCGACAAGUAGAUUCUGAUUUGAAUUCCAAACUGGAAAAUGUGCAACUUUUGUUUGGAAAAGAGUAAACCAACAACAAAAAUGGCUUGACUUUUGCCCCCCGGCCCUCUUUUCUUUCGUACCAUGUUUAAUUUGAAACGAAAAUAUUCACAUUGGGAAAUAGUAGGCGGAAUGUUUAAUUUGAAACGAAAAUAUUCACAUUGGGAAAUAGUAGGCGGGUCAUGUAACACGUUGAAACUGAGAAACUUGAUCUUAAAUAAAAUAAAAGAGUUAUUUACGCUAAUACUCACGGAGGUUUUUAAUUUUUUUUUAAAUACCUUUAAGAUUUCAGAAAUUACAUGAACACCCAUUGAGGUUUUAAAUUGUUUUCACAAAACCCCUUUUCAUUGACUUUUCGUUCAAAAAUUGAUGAUUUUAUAUAAAAUAUUUCUUCAAAUGAUAAAGUUAGCUUUUGAGAUUAGAUUGCACAUACAUUUAUUGUUUGUUAUUUACAUAAUUUUUAUUAUAUGAAAUCAUCAAGCUUUGGACGAAAAAUUAAUAAAAAUGGGUUUUAUGAAAACAAUUUAAAACCUCAAGGAGUUUUAUGAAAAAGCCAAAAAUCUCAGGAGGUGUUCAUGAAAUUUCUCCAUUUUCUAUUUGGAUCAUUGAUUAAAAACAAAAUGUUAAAGAAAGAGUAACUAUAAUCUGGAAACAUCCAUUCUCAAUCCUAGGAGUACUUUAAUAAUCCCAUCCAGAAAAAUAUGGCAGGAUACUCGAAAUAUGCUUAUGCUAGAGAUGCUAAAAUAAAGCAAAACUAUAAAGUCCAAGGUCGCAGAUGUGAUUAUUGUUCAAGUUAUGUAUGUGAGUGUUUGUGCAUAUUCUCAAAUAUUUGAGUUACAAGUCUCUUACUAAUUAAAUUUUUUUAAACCAAAAAAAAAAAAAACAUUUAGUCCACACAUUGCUUACAUGGCUUCCACAUCCACAAAAAAAUGCAUGACCCACGUAUUCUAUAUCAUCAGUUAACAUAAUUUUUGAUGGCAUGUGCCACAUUGCUACAUGGAGCAAAGCCAGGGUGGCUAAUUAUAAUUUUUUUUGUUUUGUUUAGGUGGUACUUGACAAAAGCCUAAAUGCAUGUGAUAUAUAAUAUUUAGUUCUUUUUCUAUGCAGAUCUACAUACAUUAUUAUUGUGCAUACAUCAUUGUAAAUAAUGAGAAAAGUAUGGAGGAAUAGUAGCAAAUAUAUGGUGUUCUUACGGUAAUAACGUCCGGAUGUUCGGACUCACAAAACCCCUUUCUAUUGAUUUUUCAUUUAAAAAUUGAUGAUUCCAAAUGAUAAAGUUAGCCUUUGAGAUUAAAUUGCACAUACAUUCAUUGAGGUUAAUUUUGUUAUUUGCAUAAGUUUUUAUUGUAUAACUAUAAACACAUCCAGCUUUGGACGAAAAAUGAAUGAAAAUGAGUUUUGUGAAAACAAUUUAAAACUUUAGGGGUGUUCGUGUAAUUUCUUAAACCUCUAGGAGUUUUGUGAAAAAAUUGAAAACCUCAAGAGGUGUUUAUGUAAUUUCUCCAUUUUUUAAUAAACAAUCAGCGAAAAAAAGAUUUAUAAAAAUAAUUUAAAACCUCAAAGGAUAUUAAUGUAAUUUUAAAAGCUAGUUUUUUUGAAAACACUAAAAAUCUCAGUAGGUGUUACUUGUAGGAAAUUUCAUCCCAUUAUCUUAUACCUUUUUUUGGAGACAUGCUAUGAAGAGUUUUAGUGGCCCUAGAAAAUACCGUACAAAAAAACAAAUGGAACUGAAAAUUGCAGAGCAUUUUAUCGUCAUACUCACAUCAUCAUAUAAGAAUUCCACUUUUUGUCAUCCCCCCCUUUUCCCCAAUAAAUAUAAAUAAAAAUAUAAAACCCAUUUGGACCCCAAAAUUCACGGAUAUAUAUAAAACCCUAAAGACAAAAAGACUAAACCACCGAAAGUCUCCAACACUUUCAUUUCAUUUCAUUUCAUUUCAGUAUACACACACACACACACACACAUAUAUAUAUAUAUAUAUAUAUAUGUAUCUCACUCAUCUCUCUCACUUGGUCGGUCAAAAAGCAAAUCAGAAAACAAGAACAGUAUUCAGUGAGAAAAAAAAAAAACAAACUUGACUCAGACAAGAACAAGAUAUGCAGCCAGCUGAUCAUCAAAACCAAGAGCUCUACCGUUUUUUGGCCCAAAACGGG